rnacentral:rRNA from 1 species
AUUGAACGCUGGCGGCAUGCCUUACACAUGCAAGUCGAACGGCAGCACGGGAGCAAUCCUGGUGGCGAGUGGCGAACGGGUGAGUAAUAUAUCGGAACGUGCCCAGUCGUGGGGGGAUAACGCAGCGAAAGCUGUGCUAAUACCGCAUACGAUCUAUGGAUGAAAGCGGGGGAUCGCAAGACCUCGCGCGAUUGGANCGGCCGAUAUCAGAUUAGCUAGUUGGUGGGGUAAAAGCCCACCAAGGCGACGAUCUGUAGCUGGUCUGAGAGGACGACCAGCCACACUGGAACUGAGACACGGUCCAGACUCCUACGGGAGGCAGCAGUGGGGAAUUUUGGGACAAUGGGCGCAAGCCUGAUCCAGCAAUGCCGCGUGCAGGAUGAAGGCCUGGUUGUAACUGACUUUGUA